AGAGGGGGAUAACCACUGGAAACGGUGGCUAAUACCCCAUGUGGUUCCGCAUUCGGCUGCGGGAUUAAAGGCUCCGGCGCUUCGGGAGGGGCCUACGGCCUAUCAGCUAGUUGGUAGGGUAAUGGCCUACCAAGGCUAUAACGGGUAGCUGGUCUGAGAGGACGGUCAGCCACACUGGCACUGAGACACGGGCCAGACUCCUACGGGAGGCAGCAGUGAGGAAUAUUGCGCAAUGGGGGAAACCCUGACGCAGCAACGCCGCGUGGGCGAAGAAGGUCUUCGGAUCGUAAAGCCCUUUUCUCCCGGACGAGGAAGGACGGUACGGGAGGAAUAAGUGUCGGCUAACUACGUGCCAGCAGCCGCGGUAAAACGUAGGGCGCAAGCGUUAUCCGGAUUUAUUGGGCGUAAAGGGCGUUUAGGCGGCGUCUUAAGUUGGGCGUGAAAUCUUCCGGCUCAACCGGAAGGGUGCGUUCAAUACUGGGACGCUUGAGGGCAGCAGAGGGAGGUGGAAUUCCCGGUGUAGCGGUGGAAUGCGUAGAUAUCGGGAGGAACACCAGUGGCGAAGGCGGCCUCCUGGGCUGUACCUGACGCUGAAGCGCGAAAGCGUGGGGAGCGAACGGGAUUAGAUACCCCGGUAGUCCACGCCGUAAACGAUGGAUACUAGGUGUUGGUGGUAUUGACCCCAUCGGUGCCGCAGCUAACGCAUUAAGUAUCCCGCCUGGGGACUACGGUCGCAAGGCUAAAACUCAAAGGAAUUGACGGGGGCCCGCACAAGCAGCGGAGCGUGU
rnacentral:rRNA from 1 species